rnacentral:rRNA from 1 species
CUGACGAGUGGCGGACGGGUGAGUAAUGCUUGGGAAUCUGGCUUAUGGAGGGGGAUAACUACGGGAAACUGUAGCUAAUACCGCGUAGUAUCGGAAGAUGAAAGUGCGGGACCGCAAGGCCGCAUGCCAUGAGAUGAGCCCAAGUGGGAUUAGGUAGUUGGUGGGGUAAAGGCCUACCAAGCCUGCGAUCUCUAGCUGGUCUGAGAGGAUGGCCAGCCACACUGGAACUGAGACACGGUCCAGACUCCUACGGGAGGCAGCAGUGGGGAAUAUUGCGCAAUGGGGGGAACCCUGACGCAGCCAUGCCGCGUGAAUGAAGAAGGCCUUCGGGUUGUAAAGUUCUUUCGGUAUUGAGGAAGGAGUGUAUGUUAAUAGCAUACAUUAUUGACGUUAAAUACAGAAGAAGCACCGGCUAACUCCGUGCCAGCAGCCGCGGUAAUACGGAGGGUGCGAGCGUUAAUCGGAAUAACUGGGCGUAAAGGGCACGCAGGCGGUUAUUUAAGUGAGGUGUGAAAGCCCCGGGCUUAACCUGGGAAUUGCAUUUCAGACUGGGUAACUAGAGUACUUUAGGGAGGGGUAGAAUUCCACGUGUAGCGGU